UAUAUAAGGAAAUAUGAAUACAGAGAAAAGUAGUAUAAAUGACUAAUUCGUAUUUUGGGGCUGGGGCUUUUUUUACUAGGAACUUUUGAUAAGAAACUGGUCAGCCAUUCUGAGAGUGGUGGAAAGCCUGUCAAGGUCACUGCCAAGGACAAGAGAGUCAAUUAGUAUGCAGAUCAGAGCCAAGGAGUUCAAAGGUGUGAUGGCAGAUUAAAUCCAUGACAGGAAACAGUGAUAAUGCCCACUGUAGAGCCAUGUGGUGUAAAGGUCCCUAAGAAUGGUACAACUGAAAUGGGAGGAUGAAGAAAUGUAUUGGCUAUGACAAGAAGAAGUAAUUGCUUUUCCUCAAAGGAUCAGAUGUGGUAUAGUUGUUUGAAAAACAAUCUAAACAACAUUUUGUUCACCAUUGAUUUUAAAAGCAUUAAAAUUAGUUUUUAUGCAGCUAUACUCAUUAAGCUUUUAUGUAUACUGUGUAGGGUGAAUAGUUAAGAAGCAAUAAAGCAUUCUGCAGUAAAAUAUACUUUGCCAGUUGUCAGAAGAAAUAAAAUACAUAGAUUGGGAAUGUUUGUUUCCUGUGGAAUAUUGCGAUAUUUGCCGUGUUAAUUACAAUCCAAAUAAAGCCAUUUUAUUUGUGUAUUUUAAACAGCCCUGUAGCUGUAGAUGGCUAAUACAACUGUUAUUGAAAGUGUUGUGUUUGGGGGUAGUGUGUUCAUACUGAUGAGAAACAAUCAUCAGCUACAUAUAUCCCAACAAUUCUUGCAUUCUAAAAAUAAAUCUUCUCUUAGAAUUGGUGUUCCAAAGUCUAAUUGUAAAUUUUAGCCUCAAAAACCAAAUGAAAGUUCCAUGCUGUGCAAUUUUCUUCUCUUUAGUUCCUCAUGUCAGUAUCUGCAUUCAUACACAAACUAGUUCCCCUAAUUUCACUGAAGUAGUUAACAAUUUAUUAGAAAAGGAAAUAGUCUGGAAAACAGCAACAGUCUAGUGCCCAAGGAAAGGAAACCUAUUUGGUUGUUACUUGGAAGAGAAUAACCAUUUAUUUUGUUUCUCAAAAACAAGAGAGGAGUAUGUGUACAGUACAACAACAUGCCAUCAGAGAGAAUAAUGCAUAUAAAAAUGAAUUCCUGUUAUUGUGUUCAGGUGUGUUUGUGAAUA